rnacentral:rRNA from 1 species
AUCCUUAAACGGGACCUUGAAAAGAGGGUUAAACAGUACGUGAAAUUGUUGAAAGGGAAGCGCUUGUGACCAGACUUGGGCGCGGCGGAUCAUCCGGGGUUCUCUCCGGUGCACUUCGCCGCGUUCAGGCCAGCAUCAGUUCGUCGCGGGGGAAAAAGGCUUCGGGAACGUGGCUCCUCCGGGAGUGUUAUAGCCCGUUGCAUAAUACCCUGCGGUGGACUGAGGACCGCGCAUCUGCAAGGAUGCUGGCGUAAUGGUCACCAGCGACCCGUCUUGAAACACGGACCAAGA